AGUGCGCACUCCUCCCAGUGCACUGGCCGGUUGGAGUUUUGCCAGGGAGGCCUUCCCACCUGCCUGUCUCAAUGGAAAGAAUAUGUGGAUUUGGAUUCAGGGACACCUUUAUCACCUAUGUGACUUUAGGUAAGUUACAAACACAGUGAGCCUCAGUUUUUGUACUAGUAAAACCUAUUAUGGCACAGGUUUGCAGGACGACGAAUGAGGUCUUGACCGCUGAGGUGAUUUAUAAUGUACUUGUAUUAGGACUGGAGUUAGUGUGCUAACUCAGAGGCCACAGUUAGUGGUACUGACAGAGAUUGCAUUUAGGUCUUCCCAAGGGUGGUUCCGUUCUUUAACCUUAGAUGUUUUAUUUUAUUUACUUAUUUAUUUAUUUAUUUAUUAAUUUUUGAGACGGAGUCUUGCUCCGUCACCCAGGCUGGAGCGCGAUAUCGGCUCACUGCAAGCUCCGCCUCCCGGGUUCACGCCAUUCUCCUGCCUCAGCCUCCCCAGCAGCUGGGACUACAGGCGCCCGCCACCGCGCCCGGCUAAUUUUUUGUAUUUUUAGUAGAGACAGGGUUUCACCGUGUUAGCCAGGAUGGUCUCGAUCUCCUGACCUCGUGAUCCGCCCGCCUCGGCCUCCCAAAAUGCUGGGAUUACAGGCGUGAGCCACCGCGCCCGGCCAAUGUUUUCCAUAUUUAGUGUUGUCACUCAUCUUUUAGCAUGGGCAACUAAAGCAGGUCUGAGGACAGUGCGUAUAGUUUUCUGCAACAUGACACAAAGAGUACCAGGGCGAGAUUAUGUCUGUCACAGAUGAAAAUAUUCCAUUUGUGUGUCAUAGUAAUCUAUUCAUUGGUUUAUGGACCCAAAAUUCUCCAGGGGGACUCACAAAUCCCCAUAAUGUUUCUAUGUGCCAGAUUUUUCAUUUGGAGCUCUGCUUUAGUUGACAGAUGUGUAAAAAUCACAUGUAGCCAAAUGACUCUUCAGUCAGCACUAAGCUGAUAAUGCUGAAGACUGGUUAUUCCUGCUAAGAUUCACUGGACCCUCUGCCCAGACUGUGUUUUUCAAAUCUCAUAUUAGAGCUUAAUGUUAUUUUAUUUUAAUGCCAAUGCUGUGCUCCCCAAUGCCAUAUCUUUAAACUAUUGUGCCCCAUUCUAAUACAAACACUAACUUACAUGGGGAGCUCUCUUUUGAGGAAGUCGAAGUAGAUCAGUAACUAAAUUCAGUUCCUUAAAGGUGUAAAACUCUGAGAGAGUCACACACAAGUCAGAUUGGGAGAAAGUUUCUUAGAAUAAUAAAUUUUAAAAUCUUACAUGGGGAGCUCUCUUUUGAGGAAGUCGAAGUAGAUCAGUAACUAAAUUCAGUUCCUUAAAGGUGUAAAACUCUGAGAGAGUCACACACAAGUCAGAUUGGGAGAAAGUUUCUUAGAAUAAUAAAUUUUAAAAUCUUAAAGGUUAAGAAUUAGUUGGAUGUUAAAUAUUGAGUCUCAACUGUAUCAUGUCACUGGUAUACGGAGGUAAGUUGACUUGCCCAAAAUCUGCUGAGAGUAACUGGUAGAGCUAGAAUUUGCAUCCACAUGUCUUCUGGUUACCCCAGUUUGAGUGCUCUUUUGGCACUCUUACUAUCCUUUACAUAAAAAUAUUGUGUAUUGGUAGGACAGUUUUAGUAAGCACAGAAAUUAUAUUAAUGGCAGUGCUAUAUCAAGAAGUGGACAAAUUCCUGUGUUUUGUUUUAGAUUUUGUGAUGAUGAUAGUGGCCCUUAAGUAGCGAUAGCUAUGUGAUAGAAAAAAAUUUAACAAAUUUUGCUGCAUCAAUAUUUUGCGCUUUGUGUUGUUUCAGAGUAUAUUUCCCCACCCCCUUUUUCUCUUCAACUGGGAAAACAAACGCAAAAUAUGAUUCUACAUAAAAAAUUUCAUUAGUUUGAUUUUUUCUUAGAAAUUCUAUUCUUCUUCUUAAUAUAUGACAGCUUUUAAAAAUGGCUUUAUUUCUUUAAAAAGAAAUAAAAAUGGGUUUCAAUUUGCAGUGCAGGCAAGGUAUAUCAAAAUAUGUGCUAGGAUAUAUAGCAGGGAAGUCUAGCCUGAAAUAGAGUAGAACUGUGAUAUUUAUAAAUAUUUACAAAUGAAUCUUUUAGUCACUUUUCAAAUCCCUGAAUUUCUAAAUAGUGCUUUGGCUGCAAAAAAACUAAAAAUCUAGUACUUCCAAACAUCAUGUAGAGAAUGUAAAUGGUGUAAUUCUAGAGGAAGACAGCAGAGAAGAGUGAGGAGUAUGGUUCACUGGAAAGUGCAUGACCUAUCUUCAGGGGCCAGUUCGUAAUCAACUUUAGUCCUGUGAUGUCAUAAGGGAAUGCAAAUUUAGUAUUAAGUGUUCCUGAUUUUCUUUUUUGAGAAGUUUGAAGUAUUGUUUUUUUUCUUUAAUGAUGACAACUAAUUUCAAUUUUAAAAAACAUCCAGGCCAAAUUAAAUAUGUCUGUCAUUGUAUCUGGCCUGUGGGUCUUUAGCUUUUGACCUCUGAUCUAAAGCAUUUAAUUCCUUCCUAUAAAAUUUAGUCGUGACAAGUAGAGUGCAGCAAAGCUGAAUUAAAAGCAGAUGCUGGACGGUCAGCCAUGCUCAGCCCUUAACACUGCUCUUUGUAACUACAUGAUUCAAAUUCAGGAUUUAGAAAAAUAAUACAUUCCUUUAAGCCGCGGGUCUCAAGAUCUCUGAUGGAAACUGCAUGAUAUCCUUACAGCCAAUAUUUCCUGUAUUUGAAAGCUGGGUUAACUCUCAUUGAUCUGGAAAGUUCUCUGUGGUCCUUUUUUUUCUCGUUCUAAAAAACCCAAAAAACCAAAACAAACUAACCGAAGGGAUUAAUCUCAUGAUAGGUAGAAGGCCUUAAAUCGUAGGGUCUUACACUGAGAGCAGCUCCUGCCAGCUUCCUCAAUACACGUGGCUGGUUUGAUUAAGAUAAAACCAUGAUAUUGAAAGAAUUUUGUUAUCUUCUUUCAUUAACACUUUUUAAAUCCAAAUACUCUUAUUUAUUUACAAUUUUAUAUUUUGCAAAGAUGAAACCAAUGUCUCAGGAAUGAAUGAUUAAAAAACUAAAAAAGUAAUUACUAUAAUACAAUUUAGCAUUAUGAGAAAGAAACCACUUUUCUGGAGUAUUCUACAUUGCGUGUACAUAUAUUUCAGUCUAGGGUUGUUACGCUUAUUAGUAACAGUUUGAUGCAAAAACUCAUUAAGAAUACUAAAAACUGCUCUUAUGUUAAAUUCAACAGUCUUUAUUGGAUUUAUCACUUUAAAAUAGCUGUUCUCAAAUUUUAUCAUCUGUGUAGUACUAGUCUACAAUGAUGGCUACCAAUAGCUCUUCCUAACCCUGUACCUUCACGGUGCCCCUUCCAUCAAAAGGUAGAGUCUUGUUUCCCUUUCCUUGAAUCUGGUCAGGUCACAUGACUUGCUUUGAUCAACAGAAAGCAGCAGAGGAGUCUCUGAGUCAGUUCUGAGACUAGCUCUGAAGAGACCUGGCAAUUUUCUUUUCUUUUUUUUGAGACGGACUCUUGCUCUGUCGCCCAGGCUGGAGUGCAGUGGCGCCAUCUCGACUCACUGCAACCUCCGUCUCCCGGGUUCAUGCCAUUCUCCUGCCUCAGCCUCCCGAGUAGCUGGGACUACAGGCGCCCGCCACCGUGCCUGGCUAAUUUUUUGUAUUUUUAGUAGAGACGGGGUUUCACCGUGUUAGCCAGGAUGGUCUCGAUCUCCUGACCUCGUGAUCCGCCCGCCUCGGCCUCUCAAAGUGCUGGGAUUACAGGCGUGAGCCGCUGCGCCUGGCCGAGACCUGGCAAUUUUCAUGUCUAUGAUCUUGGAAAUAAGCUUCCAUGUGAAGAAGCACAGAGUAGACUACUGAAUGGGGAGGGACUAGAGGAGAGAGAGAGAUUCCCCAUGGAAGAGGACUUUGGUGCCCCAUUGAAGGUCAGCACCAAGUGCCAUGAGUGAGACCCUCUUGGGUAAUUCCGUCCAGUAGAGCUCCCAACAGAAUGCAGCCAUUUCAGUGACGUCAGCUGAUAUCACUAUGGAGCACAAGUCCAGCCAAUCCACAGAAUUGCAAGAAAAAAAACCAGUCAUUAUUUUGAGCCAUUACAUUUUGGAAUGGUUGUUUAUGCAGUGGUAAAUAACUGGCAUGACCUGCUUGUUACUAAUACUGAGAUCUUGGCACCUCUUGCAGAGAUUCUGACUCAAUAGGUUUGGAUGAGGCUUGGGAAUCUGCUAGUUUAACAAGGUCCUGGAGUAAUUCAAUGCCAGGUAGUAUUUUCAGAACCACACUCAGGACCAUUACUCUGAAGUACUCCCAGGGAUUAUUCAAGAAAUUUAUUGUCAAAUAUGAAGAAAAUAUUAGAAUUUCUGUUUCUGUAUUUCUUUGGUCUAAAAAAUUAUAAAGAAAUUAUGCUUGACUAUGAUUGAUAUCCUGUAUAUUAGGUGCUCAUGUGAUUUUUUGGGCAUGUUAUCCUUCAAAUAGAAGGGACCGUCUAAUGUAAAGAGGAGUGGACAUUCUCUUCUUUCAUUCCUUUCGGAGCCACCUAGCUUACAUGUGUCUAUCCUAAGUGAAUCUAUGGAUUAUACUAUAGAAUAUGUUUAUUAUGGAAUCUUCCCAGUGUUUAGUCAUAAGAUGGGGGGUUGACCAUGAAAAUCUCUUAUGCCUUACGUACAGUUCAGUGGUUACUUUGAGACAAAACAUUUGGAAUUGUCAAAUUUAAAGACAAAUAGUUCACAUUGCUUUUACAAAAUACAAGUUUCCAAGUAGGCUGACCUUUCUGUGAUAUGUAACUGUGAAUAGAAUGCUACCUAGUAGAAAAUUAACAUAGGCACGUACACACACAUACUUGCUCACUUCCUUUGUACCCACACAAUAACAGCAGUUUUCACAGUAAGUGAGAGUUUCUUUUUUUUUUCUUUUUUUGUUAAGGAGUGUUUAAAAAUAAAUGAUGGGAAAUGUUUCCAUUGUUAUAUGAUUUUGCAGAAAAUGAUGUGUUACAUAAGAAAUUGCUUAUUUUGGUACACUUCAAAAAUUUUGAACCAGAACUUAAAAAUAUUUUUUCAUAUCUUCCAAGUUAAGAAUUUUUAUGUGUUUGAACACAUUUAUGAUUAGUUUGCAACAAUGAUUGGACAUUAGAGAAAAUGGAAAUUUAUUGGCUGAAUUUCACCAAAAAUCAUCAUAUUUGGGUGAGGGAUUAAAAUACGAGCAUCAUGGUUGGGCAGGUGGCUCACACCUGUAAUCUCAACACUUUGGGGGGCUGAAGUGGGAGGAUCCUACGAGCCCAGGAGUUUGAGACCAGCCUAGGCAAUAUAGGGAGACCCUGUCUCUAUGAAAAAUUUUAAAAAUUAGCCCUGCAUCAGGGCACACACUUGUGGUCUGAGCUACUUGGGAGGCUGAGGUAGCAGGAUGGCUUGAGCCCGGAGGUCGAGGCUGUAGUGAGCUGUGAUUGUGCCACUGCAUUCCAGUCUGGGCGAGACCCUGUCUCAAAAAAAAAAAAAAAAAAAAAAAAAGUGCAUCGUGAUUUACUAAGCACAGCCAAAUGAUGCAGUUCUUGCAUUUGGGAUUUAUAUAUAUUUAUGAGAAAUCUUUUUCACCUAUCAUUAAAAAAUCAUAGCAAAAGAAACUGAACUUAGAAGCAGACCUUCAAAUCCUGUCACAAGUUGUUAAACCAAAAUUGGUGAAAAUAUUCAAACAUAUUAUUGUAUUAAUUUAAUUAACAUUGUAUUUUUAAUGAGAGUUUUUUUUUUUUUUUUUUUUUUUUUGAGACGAAGUCUCGCUCUGUCACCCAGGCUGGAGUGCAGUGGUGCGAUCUCGGCUCACUGCAACCUCCGCCUCCCUGGUUCAAGUGAUUCUUCUACCUCAGCCUCCCAAGUAGCUGGGAUUACAGGCGCCUGUCACCACGCCUGGCUAAUUUUUGUGUUUUUAGUAGAGAUGAGGUUUCAUCAUGUUGGCCAGGCUGGUCUCAAACUUCUGACCUCAGGCAAUCCACCCACCUCAGCCUCCCAAAGUGCUGGGAUUACAGGCGUGAGCCACCGCGCCUGGCCGAGAGUUGUGUUUUUAAAAAUACUAUCACCUAAUAAAAUACUGUAUGCUUUAUUAUUUUAUUUGGUAAAUUUUCUUUUUUAUUUUAGAUAUACCUAAUAUAACAGCACACGUAUAUAAUUUUAUUAUUUAUUUAUUUUUUGAGACAGAGUUUUAUUCUCGUUGCCCAGGCUGGAGUGCAAUGGCACUAUCUUGGCUCACCGCAACAUCUGCCUCCUGGGUUCAAGCGAUUCUCCUGUCUCAGCCUCCUGAGUAGCUGGGAUUACAGGCAUUUGCCACCAUGCCUGGCUAAUUUUUGUAUUCUUAGUAGAGACGGGAUUUCUCCAUGUCAGUCAGGCUGGUCUUGAACUCCGGACCUCAGGUGAUCCACCUACCUUGGCCUCCCAAGUUGUCGGGAUUACAGGCGUGUGCCACUGUGCCCAGCCUAUGAUUUUAAAAUGAAAAAUUUACAACUACUUGCAGUUCAUACUUGGACAUUUUUUACUGAUGGAGUGUAUUAUCUAAAAACUUGGGAGACCAAAAUUCUAGAAUAUCAAGAAUUUUUUUUUUUUUGAGACAGGGUCUCACUCUGUUGCCCAGGCCUGAGUAGAGUGGUGCAAUCACAGCUCACUGCAGCCUCAACGUCCCAAGCUCAAGUGAUCUUCUUGCCUCAGCCACCUGAGUAGCUGGAACUACUAUAGGCAUCCACCACAACACCAGGCUGAUUUUUAAUUUUUUUGUAGAGACAGUUUCACCAUGUUGCCCAGGCUGGUUUUGAACUCUCAAGUUCAAGCCAUCCUCCCGCCUUGGUCUCUCAAAGUGCUGAGACUACAGGCGUGAACCACUGUGCCUGGCUCAAGGACUUUUUGGAGUAUCUUCCAUGUUUGUCAUUGUGUGGGAAAUAAUGUAAUUCUGAUUGCUCAUUGGUGACAGGGCUAUAGAGCAGGAACAUAGUGUUUCAGGCCUUUCUUGGAUGAGAGAAUGGGGUCCUGGCUUAGAUCAAUCUUUUGGCAGAUCACUUGCAGUUGAUAUUGUUAGAGUCUACUCUAAAAUAACAUAAUUAUACAUAGAUGGUGCCUUAUGAGAAUUCUAUUUAGUGUAUACUGCAAAGGAUAGCACAUUUCUUAAUACAUUAUCUUUUUCUUCUAUAUUCUAGAAUUGACAUUUAGCUCUCUAUCUUGAAAAUAAACCAUCCUGACAAAAUUACUUUUUAAAAAAUUCUACUUUUUCAUUUUUUUUUUUUUUUGGCCUGAUGCUGUGAGAAACAUUAGCAAGCAGAAACUAAACUUCAUCCAGCAGAGAUUCCCGGUCAUUUUAGCUUUCAGGAAGGGAACCCACUAUUUUUCUCAUUCUGGCUCUCUGGGAAAGCAGAGAGGGAACAUUUUAGUACAAGCACUUCUCACCUGUAUAGUGUAUGGUGAGUGCAUCAUUAAACAGGGGCACGUGCUUGUAGGCAAAAGUGCAUUUCAGUAAGUGGAUUGAAACCUUGCUGAAUUGUGCUGAAGCAAUUUAAACCUCCCAUUCCAUUUUACUAUUGGAGAAUUUCAUGAUAAGCAACUUGUAUAAAGAAGAAUACUAUAGAAAAACAUGCUCUGUGGUAAGCACUUGAGGUGGCUAUAUAGUCUCAAAAUGCAAACCUUCUUUUAAUUUAUCAGGAAUUUUCCCUUGAUAUUAUAGAUGUUGUAAGAUUGGACACCACAAAUGCUAAGCCAACAUAGAUGAAAUAUAUGUUAUUUUCAUAGUAGAAGGUGUAAUAUAAAUAAAAGGAAAGGCCUUUAGAAAACACUUUCCAUUCACACUUUAGUCCUUUGGUGAUUUUCUAUAAUAUAUUUAAAUGAGUGCUAUAGUUCACCCAAUACAUAUCUGACAAUGUAGUUGCUCACAUUUUUAUCAUUUUAUCAACUGGAUGUGUUAAAUUCUUAUUAAUUAUUUACAAAUGCCCUCCCUCCACCCUGGCCUUUUAAGACUCUCUAAGAAUGGCAUAUAAUCCCAGGAACAUUUUUAUUACAUUUGUUUGUGGAGGGGCCUAGUGGGUGAAGGUACAAAUUUGGGACAUUUCUUCAAAGAAGAAAGGGACGGAGACAGUAAGAGGGGGAUCAGAGUUUGAGGAGAAAAAAGGAAAAAGAUUCAUGUAACAGGAUAAGGGAAGAGAACCUGAGGGAUUUCAAAAAAGGAGAAAGGAGAUGAGGGAUAGAGGAGAAAGGGUUUUUUAAAAGAUUCCCUCCCUCAGGUCCUCGCUUCCAAGACGACAAAGAAAAGAAAGAACAAUGGUGGUGCCCAAAAGUGCCAUGACCAUAUGUAGCUUAUUUGCUGCACAAAUUGUGCCUAAUGCAUGCCCAAUGCUAUUAAAAAGUUCGUCAUUCGAAACACAGUAGAGGCCACAGCUGUCAGGGACAUUUCUAAAGUGAGUAUCUUCAACAGCGAAGUGCUUCCCAAGCUGUAUGGGAAGUUACGUUGCGCUGUGAGUUGUGCCAUUCACAGCAAGGUAGUCAGGAAUCGAUCUUGUGAAGCCUGCAAGGACCGAACACCUUCACCCAGUUUAGACCUGCGGGUGCUGCCCCAUGACCCCCGCCAAAGCCCAUGUAAGGAGUUCAGUCCUUAAGGACUGAUGAAAAAUUAUCCUCUGGAGAAAAAGAAAAUGGAAAUUGUACCUAAAAGAAAAAAAAGAUUGGUUACGUUGUCCGUUAUGUAACUCCUCUUUUAGCCUGCCAACAAAGCCUCAUGUAGAAUUCAGUUGUUCAAUGCUUUUGGAGUGUUUCUAUUUGUUUUUGGUUCUGAAUGUAUGUGUGAAGCUGGCUUUAAAGUAUCAAGGGGUUUGAAAGAGCAGAAAUCUUUUAAAGUUUUGGUUAAAAUAAGCAGUGGAGUACUAAGAGGCAGAAUGUGGUUGGGUUGGGUGAGUUGCUUUGGUAGAAAGGAAUAUCUUACCGUGGAUAUCAUUUAGAGCUUUCCAUGCAUGCUGUUAAUAAAGAACAGACUGAUUUUUACGCACUUCUGUUGUUUUAAUAUUUGCGACUCAUGUGUCUCGGGUGCCCAGGCUGAGUGCUUCCACUAUCCCACCUUGAUCUGUCAUUGGAAGUCAGCAAACAGCUUUAAUUUAAAAUAAGCCAGGCACGGUGGCUCAUGCCUAUAAUCCCAGCACUUUGGGAGGUUGAGGUGGGAGAAUCACCUGAAUCCGCGAGUUCAAUAGCAGCCUAGGCAACAUAGUGAGACUCAGUCUCUACAAAAAUAAAAAGAAAAAAUACAUCUGGGUGCAGUGGUGUGCACCUGUAGUCCCAGCUACAUGGGAGGCUGAGGCAGGAAGAUGCUUGAGCCCAGGAGAUCGAGGCUACAGUGAGCCAUGAUCAUGCCACUGUACUCCAGCCUGGGCGGCAGAGUGAGACUCCAUCUCAAAAACUAAACUGAAAAUAAAAAUAAAUAAAUAAUAAAAAUAAAAUAAGGCAUAUGUUGUGGCAACUUCCAUCAGAAGCUUGUCACUCUCUUUUUGCAGCUGUUUUCUACCAACUUAGAAGAUACUGCAGGUAUGUAAGUGACCAACGUGCUUUAAAAUUCCUGGUGACUUUGGUCUUAAUUUGUUGCCAUCCUUUCUGUACUCAGAUCUGAGGCAUCCUCUGAAACUGGGAAUAUAGAGAAUGACAUUUCUGUCUUCCUUUUUUUUUUUCAGACGGAGUCUCACUCUGUCGCCCAGGCUGGAGUGCAGUGGUGCCAUCUCGGCUCACUGCAACCUCCACCUCCCUGGUUCAAACAAUUCUCCUGCCUCAGCCUCCCGAGUAGCUGGGACUACAGGCACACGCCACCACGCCCGGCUAAUUUUUUGUGUUUUUCGUAGAGACAGGAUUUCACCAUGUUGGCCAGGCUGGUCUGACCUAAGGGGAUCUGCCCGCUUUGGCCUCACAAAGUGCUGAGAUUAUAGGCGUGAGCCACCGCAUCUGACCUUCUGUUCUCCUUUUGGUAGCUGAAAUUCCUCUGUACUAUUUCUGAUCCUGUGUAAAUAGGUUGGAAUAGGAUUCUGCCUUUCAGUUUUCAUCCUUUCUUUCUCAUCGUCCUCCUCUUUUUUCUUUCUCUCAUUUUAUGUCUACCUGUCCUUUCUUUUGGCUCUUAUUUCUAUAUCUAUAACAGUGAAUUGUUAGAGAACAGGGUGAAUACAAUGGGACAUAGAACACCUGGUGGUAAAUAUCCUGCUCCCUUUCUUCUUCAAAGCUAGUCAAACUCUAGUUUAAUGAGUUUCUAUCAGUUUUGUUUUCUAACGUCAAUCAAAAGGGAGAGUUAGAGAAAAGGGAGAACACGUGGGAAAAUGCAUAAGCAAAGAUAAUACUAUGAAAAUAACAAGGCCGAGCGCGGUGGCUCACACCUGUAAUCCCAGCACUUUGGGAGGCCGAGGCGGGUGGAUCACGAGGUCAAGAGAUCAAGACCAUCUUGGUCAACAUGGUGAAACCCUGUCUCUACUAAAAAUACAAAAAUUAGCCAGGCAUGGUGGCGUGUGCCUGUAGUCCCAGCUACUCGGGAGGCUGAGGCAGGAGAAUCACUUGAACCUGGGAGGUGGAGGUUGCAGUGAGCCGAAGGUUGCAGUGAGCCGAGAUCGCACCAUUGUACUGCAGCCUGGACAAUAAGAGCGAAACUCUGUCUCGAACAACAACAACAAACGAAAUGAAGGCCUUAAAAGUUGUCAGUCAUUUGUUUCUAGUCGGCUAUCUUCUCUUUGACUGUGCCUAUGCUUGUGGAAUACUUUCAAUGGGAUUAGAAACCUUAGUUGUUUGCUUGUUUUGAUGGAACUUAGACUUUCUCCCUGCAGUAAGUAGCUGUGUUGAAUUGCUAAAGCUGGAGUUCUGUUAAUACUUGUGUUGCUACAGCUACAAUAUUUUAAGGAGGGGGAAAGAGCUAGUGACAGCCCGAACACAAAAUCCUUACACAGACUCUUAGGUCAUUUGUGCCUUGCUUCCUUCUCCAUACCUUUUUGGUCACAGCUGGAGAGUCCUUGGUCAUUGGUUGUACACCUUUGCUCUUCUGAUAAAAUUUCAGAGUUAGUAUAUGGGCAGUUUCAGGGGGGGUGUGGAUGGUGGCCUGAACAUUGUGCCUGGGCUGCCAAGACAUGGCACACCCUCUUUCCCUCUUCCUGCCAAACUUUGGCUGUGCUGUUUUUGACCACAUGUAAACAACUGAACCAUAGCUAGAAGGGAGAUCAUCAAACUCUUUCUGUAAAGGACCAGAUAGUAAAUAUAUCAGGUUUUGCAGGCAAGAUACUCCUUUUGCAACUAUCCAUCUUUGCUGCUGAAGUGCAAAAGCAGCCAUAGAUAUAAACCAAUGGGUGUGGCUAUGUUCAAAUAACAUUUAUGUAUGAACACUGAAAUCUGAAUUUCAUAUACAUUUUAAAUAUCACAAAAUAUUAUUCUUCUUUUGAUUUUUUCCUCAACUGUUUACAAAUACAGAAACCGUUUAUAGCUUGGAGGCUGUACAAAAACAAGGCGGUAGACUGGAUUUGGUCUGAGUGCUGUGGUUUGCCAAUCAGGAAUGAGAACAUUGUCCUUUGUUAUGUUACCACGCACCACAAGUUUAGUGGCUUAACAUGACAGCCGUUUACUUGUUUAGCUUGCCAUUUGUUGGCUGGCAAUUUGGGUGGGCUCAACUGGGUGGUUUUUGACUAGGUUCAGUCAUACAACUGUGGUCAACUAUUGGUCAGCUAGUUGGCUCUGUUUCUGGGAGGUGGUUGGCUAGGGCAACAAAGUUGACGGCCAUGUGUCUCUCAUCAUUCAGCAGGCUAACCUGUGCUCGUUCACAUGCUGGUUCUAGGAUUAGCCAAAACAGGCAAGCUCCCAUAUGCGAGCACUUUUUGAGGUUCUGCUGGUGUCACUUUGCAAUUGUCUCAUUGUUUCAAGCAAGUCAUCUGGUCUCGUCCAGAGUGUGGGGAAGAACUAAGCGUGUGGAUACAGGCAGGCAUGAAUGAUUAGGGUCUAUUACUGCUACGUCUUAUCACAGAAGGCCUCUAGUGUUGAUGAUUUAUAUCCUUUCUGCAUUCAUAAUAUGUUUCCUCCCAAGACCCCCUAAAUCUCAUCCAAUCACAGCAUCAUACUCAAUGUCCAGGAUCUCUUGUUUGAUAAUUAUGUUUAGGAGUGACUUUUUGGAUGCAGAUCCUCUUGUUCCAGCUGCAUUAAAAAGAUAAAUUAUGCAGUGAGAAGACAAACACAUGAUAACUGCAGUAGACACUGCUAUUGGAAGGAGGGAAAAUUGGAAACACGUAGCAAUCACUGGUUCAUAGAAAUUCCGAAACCCGGGCCGGGUGCGGUGGCUUACGCCUGUAAUCCCAGCACUUUGGGAGGCCGAGGUGGGUGGAUCACGAGGUCAGGAGAUCGAGACCAUCCUGGCUAAUGGUGAAACCCCAUCUCUACUAAAAUACAAAAAAUUUGCUGGGCGUGGUGGCGGGCGCCUGUAUUCCCAGCUACUCGGGAGGCUGAGGCAGGAAAAUGGAGUGAACCUGGGAGGCGGAGGUUGCAGUGAGCCGAGAUGGCGCCACUGCACUCCAGCCUGGGAGACAGAGCGAGGCUCUGUCUCAAAAAAAAAAAAAAAAAAAAAAAAAAAAGAAAAGAAAUUCCGAAACCCAGCCGGGCAUAGAUUUUCAGAUCCUUGUACUUCAAGGUGAGAAAAUUUUCCUUGAUUGGGCUAAGAUUCCACUUCUGGCAGCUGUUUCUCCAGAGUCUUAUUUUCUACUGCUCUCUGGAAGUAGUACUGUAGUCCAUUGUGCAUCACAGUUCUUGCCUGUGUCCUCUGAAACGUCAUUCCUUUUUAAUAAGAAAUGGCCUCUGUAUGCAGCUGAAUACCUUCCUCAACCUUCAUUCCUGUAUAAUGUUGGGAGCCCAGAAGCCUCUUUUUGUUUCAAGGUGAUGUGAAUAUUUCAGUCCAAGAUAGUGGUGCUUUUGUUGGCACAAUUGACUUCAGGGUUUUUAGAACUUCCUACAAGGCAGAUUCAGGUUCACUCCAUACCCCAGAAGCCACAUCCAUAAUUUUUAUUGAGAGAGACUUUUUAUUUAUUUAUUUAUUUUUUUGAGAUGGAGUUUCGCUCUUGUUGCCCAGGUUGGAGUGCAAUGGUGCAAUCUCGGCUUACCACAACCUCCGCCUCCUGGGUUCAAGCAAUUCUCCUGCCUCAGCCUCCCGAGUAGCUGGGACUAUAGGCAUGCGCCACCACGCCCAGCUAAUUUUGUAUUUUUAGUGGAGACGGGGUUUCUCCAUGUUGGUCAGGCUGGUCUUGAACUCGCGACCUCAGGUGAUCCACCUGCCUGGGCCUCCCAAAGUGCUGGGAUUACAGGCAUGCGCCACCAAGCCCGGCCGAGAGAGACUUUUUACUUUGGUGUGUCAGCCUGCUGGGGAAAACAAUCUUUAAAAAUCUUAAAAGCCAUUUUUGUCUGAGUGUCUACUAUGUGUAAUCUUAAAUUUUUCAGAGUUUUUAACAAAGGGACUUACAGUCACACUUUGAUUUGAUCUUUACCCUGAGGCCAUUUCUUACCUUGACAAUUUUUUACUGACAGGGAAGAUUGGAGAUAAGGAAAAAUUUAUUUUCUUCGCAGCAUGUUCCAGCCCCUCUAUAUAUCUCCUAAGUUCUGCUUAUAAACAGAAUUUUUUAAAGCUCAUCUCUCCUUUCUAGUACUUUAUCAUAGGCAGCUAAAAGAAGCCAAUUAACAAGUUUAACUUUCUGUGAGGCUGUCUCCAUUAAUCAAAUCCAGAAGUUCAUUAGUUGCUGCAGGUAACAUUUUAUCAAUUGUUCCACAACUACUAAUUUCAAAUAACUAUUUUUCUAGACUGCCAUAGUCAUUUCUUUGCUACUUUUGCAGCCUCUGUUAACAGUGUGCUUACCAUUUUUCAAGGCUUCAUAGUCACUUUGCUGCUUUUCCAGCUUCUACCAGCCACAUCACAUCAUUCCAAAGCCAAGAUGCCACGUUUUUGGUUUCUGUUGCAGAAACGCCCCACUUCUAGGUACCAAUGUCUUUCUCAAUUAUCUAUUGUUGCAAACAAGGCAUUCCCCAAAUUUAGUGGCUUAAAACAAUCAUUUGUGUAUGUGGGUUGGAAAAUUUGGGCUGGGCUAAUUGAGGAACAUUUGCUGGUCUUGGGUGGGCUCGCUCUAGAAUCUGUAGUCUUUAACACUUAGUUAAGAGGCUUGGCCUCAGGUGUUGACUGGCUGUUGAGAAGGAUAACACGGAUACCAGGCGGUAUGUCUUCUGUUAUCAAGCCAGCUAGUCAGGGCUUGCUCCCACAGUAGGAGUCGCCCGGAUUCCAAGAUCAGUCAGAGAAGAGAAGCUCCAAAGCACAAAUACUUCUCAAUUCUCUACUUGUGUUACAUUUACUAUUGUCACAUUGGCCAAAGCAAGUUACAUGGCUAAGUCUAGACCAGCGUGAGUGUGGGAGGGAAUUACCCCCAGGCUUACAUUGAAGGAAGUGAUGGGUUCAGAGAAGUGUGAACAAAGUUGGCACCAUUAUUGCGACGAUCUACUGGGCUUACGUUAAAUAGAGUAGACUAUAAUCUGACACACAGAAAGCCUAUCAAACUUCCAGAGGAAUUGCAUCAGUAAAAGGGCUGCCAGCUUGCAGAAAAAACAAACAAACAAAAAACAAAAAAAAACAUGAAGUUUGCUCAAAUGGCAAAUUUAGAGUGAUUGAUUAUGCAGCUAGCUGACGCAAACAUCACAAAUUCAAGUAAUGACUUAAAAUUUGGUAAAGAGAAUUUACCAAAUAUCAGUACUACAUACAUUCGUGCGUGUGAUUUUUGGAGGCUGAGCUAUCAAAAAUGCAAGAGGAUAGAAAGAAAAAUACUUCUGAGAUUAGGCAAACACAGUGAAAAAUAACAACAAUGGAUACUAUCUAACAUUUAUGGGAUAUCAAUCGUGACACACACUAUGCUAGUAGCUAUUAUCUCUUUUAAAAAUAGAAAAAAUAGUAUUAACUAAGAUAAGUAAAUACAAUUUUUUGCUUUUUACAUCUAGGAAACAUGACCUGCUUAGUAUAACGUGAAAGCUUUUUACAUUGUAGUGCUGCUAAGGAUUAGUGAAAGCAUUGCUGGCUUGAAGUUGGAGUUUAAUAGAAAAAUGUAGGCAGCUAGUCAUACCUGUAAUCCCAGCACUUUGGGAGGUUGAGGCAAGAGAAUCACUUGAGGCCAGGAGUUGAAGACCAGCCUGGGCACCAUAAUGAGACCCCAUGUCUAGAAAAAUAAUAAUAAAAAGUUAUCUGGGCAUGGUGGCAUACAACUGUAGUCCUAGAUACUCAGGAGGCUGAGGCAGGAGAAUGGCUUGAGCCCAGGAGUUCAAGGCUACAGUGAGCUAUGAUCAUGCCACUGCACUCCAGCCUUGGUGACAGAGUGAAGCCCUAUCUCUGAACAAAAAAGUAUACGUAUUUUGGGGUUAUUAGUAAUUUGCCCACUUUCCCAGUUGAAUAAACACUACGGUUUAGGGCAGCUUCCAUCUUUAUAAUGAAGCCAGCUCAAGUUGAAGUUUCUUCCUUUACUAAGUAAAACAUUUUAGUAUAAUAAUUGGCUCUUGGGAAGAGAGAGUAUAGUAUGAUUGCUUUUGUAUAUUUCUCAUCCAUUCUUUAUUGAUUCCAAAGUAAAAGAAAAAAAGUGAAAUUUUUCUAGAACAAAAUAUUUACUUCUCAUAAUUAAGGCAAUUUAUAAGGAUUCACAGGAAAGUUAGCAAAGAAAUGACAGUAGUUAGACUUGAGGAAAAGAGUGGUUACAGGUGAUUUUCUUUGGAUUCUUAGGUUAAAGUGAAGAGUAAAAAUGAAAGAAUGAACCAAACCUAGGGGUAUGUCAAUAUUUUCUCCAAAUGGAUAGAAAGUAAUCAUGUUAAAGCUCUCUGGAACACACACACACACACACACACACACACACACACAUGAACACAGAAUUAAGAAUGACAAAUGGGUGGAUGGAGGUGAAAAAAGAUUCUGUAAAGACAUAAAAUGUUAACCAAACUUUAUUUUUAUAUUGAAAUUCACUAUUUUGGAAAAGAUAUCUUCCUCCAUGAAAGAAACAGGAUUUGAGAAAACAUGUUUGAAAAGUGCCUCAGAUGUUCAAGUUUGUGAUCAUCAAGUAUAAUUCAUAAUUGGCAAAAGUAAAUUAGGAGCUUUGGCGGUUAAGAUGGUAUCUUAAUUUACACUCCAGGCUGAACAAAUGGAAAGUUCUUGAACCCUUACAGAAAAAGUAAAUAUAUUAAAAAUAUUUAGCGUUGACAAUAUAUUUUAAUGUAGCCGGAAGAUUAAUAAAUUCACUAAAUUAUAGAAUGCUUAAUUUUUUAACCUUGAUUUUUCUCCUUUUCUUUAAGAAUAUUUUUCCCUGUUACAUGACUUGCAGAAAUUUGUCUUAUUUUUUUACUUUUUAUUUUGAAAAAUUUCAAAUCUACAAAAAAGUAAUAGAAGACUUUAUAGUGUAGGGUAAUGAACACCUGUGUACACUUCAUCACGUUCCCCAAUUGUUAAGAUUUUCUCACAUUUGCUUUAUCUCUCCAUGAAUAUGUACACAUCAUCCAUCUAACUAAUUUAUGAAUUACUUGAGAAUAAAUUGCCCCUAAAUACAUAUAACAUAUGUGUCCUUAUAGUCUUGCCUGGAGCAAUAGUCUUAUGAUCAAAUUGAGGAAAUUUAACAUUAUUAGUACAACACAAAUUACACAAUAUAUAGUUCAUAUUUUUUUCAAUUGUCCCAAUAAUGCCCUUUAGAGAAAAACAAACGAAAAACCUUUUUUUUUUUUUUUUUUUUUUUUUUUCCCAAUUCAGGAGUUACUUCAGUAUUCCAUAUGGUGCUUAGCCUCUUUAGUCUUAAGUCUGGAUCAGCUCAUCAAUCCUUUUGUUGUUCAUGACAUUUUGAAAAGAACAAGCCAAUUAUUUUGUGUUUGAUCAUUUGUGUUUGGUGGUUUCUUCAUGAUUAGAAUCAGGGUGUGCAUUUUUGUUAGAGUACUAUAUAUGUAGUAGUGUGUUCUUUUCCGAGUAUCCUAUCAAGUGCCAUGCGAUGCCAGUUUAUCCUAUUACUGGUGAUGCUAACUUUAUCGUUUCCUUAAGGAAGUGUUUACUAUUGUCUCUACUUUAAAGAUAUUAUUCCUUUUGGUAGUUAAUAUGUAAACCAAGAGGAGGUACUUGGAUCGUGUUCCCAACUUUUACCCAGAGAUUAUGGCAUUUAUUGAUGAUUUUAGCCUAAAUCAGUGAUCACUGUGUUAGCUGCCAAAUGUUGAUUCUUAAAAAUUUGAUCAAGCAGAAAUUCUUACCAGUGAUUAUUUUUAAAAGCAUAUAAGAGGUUAUUUUAGGGAAGUAAUACAUCUGUAGACAACCAGAAAGGCAAAAUAUUAUUACAGGUAAUUAAUCUGGAAAAGCAAAAGAAAAGAAUAACCGCAUUGAAGAACAGAGCUAUUGCAAAGAAUACUCUGAAUUUUUCAUCAAGCAGCAAGAUGGUAAUAAGUUAGGUCUAUGAAGUGAAAUGUGUGCAUCAACCAUUUUCCCCUGCAUAAUCUCCAGCUGCUUUGCAUUUAUACACAAUCAUGCACCGUAAUAAUCAGGAAAAUGUUUGGACUGUACAAAAAAACCCCAGCUUGGUAGCAAGUGUAAUAGAAGAGAAAAAUGAAAACAAGGAAACUGGAUAAGACCUUUAAGAUUAGAAAAUGUUUAUGUAAAAUUUCUAAAGCAAUUGAUAAAUUAUACUACUUAUAUUACUAGUUUUCCCUCUCCAUUUCUGGCUAAUUUUAUUAAUAUACUAUAGCUUCAGAUUAUUCUCAGUUGCAUCUAGUGAAUUUAAAAAAGAACAACCUGCAAUAAAGCAUUUAUCAUGUCUUGCUGAAUAAAAUGUGUAUUUUGUGCAACUUGAGAUUGAAAGCUUUCUAAACCUCUCAGAGUUUUAAAUCAGACAACCCCCCCACUUCUUGCAGGCACAGUUGCUUAUUUGUCACUUUGAGUUUGAUUUAUCUCAAGUAGGAGCUAAAACUGUAUUAAAAUCUUCUGUUAAGCAUGUAAAACUCUACAUAUAUACAGCCAGUCAGUUAAACAUCUCUAAUGAAAGACAGCUGAAUUCUUAUUGGAAACAAAAAUAGGAUAGAAAGAGAUUUGUUUCUGUGAAGGAUGCUGUGAAAAGUAUGAGAACCAGGUGUCUUCUCUUUACAAAAUGGUGCUGAUGUAUAAGGCAAUGAAAAUAUUUUGAUGAUUUUUUUAAAAGAACACAUAAAGUAACCAGUGAAUCUGUGUAUUCAGCUAUUUAUCAAUUUAGUGAUGGUCUGAAAAGUCAGUGAAUUAACUAGUGCCCUCUGCUUUAUUCAUUAUGUCAUUAUGUCAUAUUUUUUCCUUUUUGUUUGCAUUUAAAUGAGAACAACUCAGAAUAUAAAGUUGUAUAAUAUUGAUAGUUUUAUAAGAAUUGUUUUAUAAGAUAUAAAACAAUUAUAAAAACAUCUUAUAUAUUACAAUUAUAAAAAACAUUUAUA
rnacentral:lncRNA from 1 species